GAUGAACGCUGGCGGCGUGCCUAAUACAUGCAAGUCGAGCGAACAGACGAGGAGCUUGCUCCUUUGACGUUAGCGGCGGACGGGUGAGUAACACGUGGGUAACCUACCUAUAAGACUGGGAUAACUUCGGGAAACCGGAGCUAAUACCGGAUAAUAUUUCGAACCGCAUGGUUCGAUAGUGAAAGAUGGCUUUGCUAUCGCUUAUAGAUGGACCUGCGCCGUAUUAGCUAGUUGGUAAGGUAACGGCUUACCAAGGCAACGAUACGUAGCCGACCUGAGAGGGUGAUCGGCCACACUGGAACUGAGACACGGUCCAGACUCCUACGGGAGGCAGCAGUAGGGAAUCUUCCGCAAUGGGCGAAAGCCUGACGGAGCAACGCCGCGUGAGUGAUGAAGGUCUUCGGAUCGUAAAACUCUGUUAUUAGGGAAGAACAAACGUGUAAGUAACUGUGCACGUCUUGACGGUACCUAAUCAGAAAGCCACGGCUAACUACGUG
rnacentral:rRNA from 1 species